AUUGAACGCUGGCGGCAGGCCUAACACAUGCAAGUCGAGCGAGCGGCGGACGGGUGAGUAAUGUAUGGGGACUGACCGAUGGAGGGGGAUAACUACUGGAAAAGGUAGCUAAUACCGAAUACUAUCGGAUAACCCAGAUGGGAUUAGAUGGUUGGGGAGGUAAUGGCUCACCUAGGCGACGAUCUCUUUCUGGUCUGAUAGGAUGAUCAGCCACACUGGGACUGAGACACGGCCCAGACUCCUACGGAGGCAGCAGUGGGGAAUAUUGCACAAUGGGCGCAAUCCUGAUGCAGCCAUGCCGCGUGUAGUAAGAAGGCCUUAGUGUUGUAAAGUACUUUCAGCGGGGAGGCGUUACCCGCAGAAGAAGCACCGGCUAACUCCGUGCCAGCAGCCGCGGUAAUAC
rnacentral:rRNA from 1 species